rnacentral:miRNA from 1 species
GAAAGAAAGAGAGAGACAGAGAGAGGAAGGAAGGAAGGAGGGAGGGUCCCUCCUUCCUUCCUUCCUUCCUUCCUUCCUUCCUUCCUUCCUUCC